rnacentral:tRNA from 1 species
GAGGGUAUAGCUCAAGUGGUAGAGCACAUGUUUAGCAUGCAUGAGGUCCUGUGUUCAAUCCCAGGUACCUGCU